rnacentral:rRNA from 1 species
AUCCGGAAUUAUUGGGCGUAAAGAGCAUGUAGGCGGUCUAUUAAGUCUGGUGUGAAAUCUAGUGGCUCAACCACUAAAUUGCAUUGGAAACUGAUGGACUAGAAUACUGGAGGGGCAAGUGGAAUUCCAUGUGUAGCGGUGGAAUGCGUAGAUAUAUGGAGGAACACCAAUGGCGAAGGCAGCUUGCUGGACAGUAAUUGACGCUGAGAUGCGAAAGCGUGGGUAGCAAACAGGAUUAGAUACCCUGGUAG